ensembl:misc_RNA Metazoa_SRP Metazoan signal recognition particle RNA
ACCAGGCAUGGUAGAUUGUGCCUGUAGUCCCAGCUACGCAGGAGGCUGAGGCAGGAGGAUGGCUCGGGCAGCCCAGGAGUUCUGAGCUGUAGCGCCCUAUGCUGAUCGGGUGCCUGCACCAAGUUUGAUUCAAUAUGGUGACCUCCUGGGAGCAGGGAACCACCAGGUUGCCUAAGGAGGGAUGAACUGUCCCAGGUCAGAAGUGAAGCAGGUCAAAACUCGUGUGAUGAUCAGUAGUGGGACAGUGCCUGUGAAUAGUCACUGCAUUUCCACCUGGGCAAUAUAAUGAGACCUUGUCUCA